UGCUGCAGCUGUCUAUCUGG
rnacentral:misc_RNA from 1 species